rnacentral:rRNA from 1 species
UAACACGUAGGGGGCAAGCGUUGUCCGGAUUCAUUGGGCGUAAAGAGCUCGUAGGCGGCUCAGUAAGUCGGGUGUGAAACCCUCAGGCUCAACCUGGGGACGCCACUCGAUACUGCUGUGGCUAGAGUCCAGUAGAGGAGUGUGGAAUUCCCGGUGUAGCGGUGAAAUGCGCAGAUAUCGGGAGGAACACCAACGGCGAAGGCAGCACUCUGGGCUGGAACUGACGCUGAGGAGCGAAAGCGUGGGUAGCAAACAGGAUUAGAUACCCUGGUAGUCCACGCCGUAAACGUUGGGCACUAGGUGUGGGGCCCCUCCAACGGGUUCCGUGCCGUAGCUAACGCAUUAAGUGCCCCGCCUGGGGAGUACGGCCGCAAGGCUA